AUUGUGAUUACUGCCGCACCGCAACACUUGUCCCAUAUACACACACACACACACACACACGCUCACGUGCUGUCACCUGCUGCUGUUGUUGCUGUUGUGGCCCAGUUACAGAAAGUUCGUGAGUCAUGAAAACUGCCAAGAGUGUGUCCCGCUCCCUGAGGUUGCUGGCAGUGGUGCUGGUGGUGGCUCUGUUGCUCAUGGACGCCGUCGAGGCUCACCGUUUUUGGGGUUGGGGUUGGGACAGAUGGUGUCGGUCGAGAAGUACUUGUGACAUAAAAAGGAAAGUAUGUAGACGAUAUUCAACAAGGGAGGACUGCACCGCUUGCUUUGAGACUGGUACUAACGGAACAAUGAUUACUUCAUGGGAAGACCUCGGCAUUUGUCUAGAUGCUGCAAAUGUCACGAUGCCGGACUUCUCCUCCUCCUGCCCCAGCCGAUGUUUCUAUUGACCACAUCUGAAAAGAAAAGCAAGAUGGAGACCACGCCAUGGAUGACCCUUGCCACUUCCUCUACUCUGGUUCAAAAUAAUUUCUGCCACCAUAACUAUCACACCAAUAACAGCACGAAGGCCUUGUCUCCCUAAAGAACUCUACGUAAUACAUACCACAUGGGCACACACUCACUGCUCCUCGUCCUCCCUCACCGCCGCCACACCACCACUCAGCAGUCUGCCACCCGUCCACGGCUAUAACCUUUUUUUUGGCAAAUUGCAAAGUAUGCGUCCUGCUUUGUCUCUAGACGACUAUAUAUUAUGUAUUUGGUGAGGCGUUAUCAUCUGAAAUCUUCAUUAUAAGUUUCGUUAUUGUUACUCUGAGUGACAAGUACUGCGCGCGCAUUAUUAUAUUGUGGCACGUUACCAGAGGGCUGGUAUUAAACAUAAAGCAUUUCCCUUCAUAAAAGUGUCGUGCAGUGGUAGCGUGCUUCUUCAACUCAGACUUGAAGGCAAAAUCCUUGACAAAGGAAAUUAUUUUCGAUGACAAAUUCGUGUGUGUGUGUGUGUGUGUGUGUGUGUGUGUGUGUGUGUGUGUGUGUGUGUGUGUGUUACAUUCAUAUUGUUCUCUUGAAAAGAAUGAAAUUCAAAGCACUUCGUCUUAUCAGCUCCUCUCCUCUGACUGACUGUCUUUAGCAGUUCACUCUUCGUCGCAAUGUUGCUACCCUUAAUCGCCACGUUCACGCUAACUGCUCUUUUGAUCUUGGUAACUGCAUUUCUCCCCAGCACCACACCCCUACCUGCGGCCAACUGCACAAGGCUUUUUGCUUUCUCUUACCCCUAUUAUGUCCAUCUCCCUAAUGCAAGAGCUAACCAGUAUUUUUCAUACCUUUUAUUCGUAAACUCUAGAACUCCUUCCCUGCUUCUGUAUUUAUAUAUAUGCUUCUGCUAUCAUGAAUUCAGCUCUUAGAAGACGGAGGUUUUAAGAAAUUUUCCACCACUUUUAAGUAUUCGUUUUGAUUGUUCUAUUUAGGAUUUGGCACCUUCAGUGGGCCUUUAUCAUUAUGUGUUUUUUUUUCCGCCUUUGACCACAGACCUUCUUAUAUAUUUUUUAAGCUAAGAAAAAACAAAACAAAACAAUAUCUGUGGUUGUAUAGUAAAGUAGAAAAAAAAAACGGUUCGAGACAUUCCUGCAGGAUUCUUUUCCCGUCCACUUGUUCAAGGUGACAGUAAAGAGUCUUUAUGCAACAGUUUUUACAUUGUUAUGACUGGUAGUACGUACAAAAGCCCCACAAAAAUUAUCUUUGGUCCUGACGAUCGCCAUUGUCCCAACAUGAUUGUAAGACGCUGUCCAUCUGUUCUCUUGAGCUCUAUCAUGAUUAAAGAUUUAUUGCACU